rnacentral:lncRNA from 1 species
GAUGAUGAAAUGUAUACGAGAUGAAUAGUGAAAAAAAAAGAUGAUGAUGAAAUGUACAGGUAAUCUAUUAAUUCCGAUAUAUAUGAUUCAUUGGAGAAAGAAAUUAAAAAAAAAAAAAAAUUGAUGAACAAUUUGGAAUCAAGUUUUUCAAGAAAGCGAAAUCUGUGAGGCUGAAAAGCCAUCACAACAAAUUCCUGACGGCUGAGAAGCACUUCCUCUCGUCGUCCCCUUCAUCGGCAACGCCAUCUCCCUCGUCGUCGUCCCGUUUAUUCGGCAAGUCAGGCGCAGUAGAAGAAUCAAAAGUUUAACCCAUUUCCCGAGAUGGCAGAAUCGGAGGAAAAUCGCUAAGGCAACUACGUCAUCGGCCGCUAGGAGGGAGAAGAGAGUAAGAAAGAAGAAGGGAGAGAGUGCGGCUAAGGUUUGGGAAAGAAAAUAGUGAUUUUUUUUUAUAUGUUGGAUCGUUGAGCCCGCUCUGACCCGCCCUCAGACCUAUUGGACCUGCGCCUGGCCCGUCUGAUGCAUACAGGUGGUUUAACACAAGAAUUUAUGAUUAAUAAAUAUUGCAAUUUGUGUGUGUGUGUUGUGCUGUGAGAAAA